ACGGAAGGCAGCAGUGGGGAAUAUUGGGCAAUGGGCGAAAGCCUGACCCAGCGACGCCGCGUGAGGGAAGAAGGUCUCCGGAUUGUAAACCUUAGUCAACAGGGAAGAAGCAAGUGACGGUACCUGUGGAGGAAGCCACGGCUAACUACGUGCCAGCAGCCGCGGUAAUACGUAGGGGGCAAGCGUUAUCCGGAUUUACUGGGUGUAAAGGGAGCGUAGACGGUUUUGCAAGUCUGAAGUGAAAUGCCGGGGCUCAACCCCGGAACUGCUUUGGAAACUGUAGAACUAGAGUGCAGGAGAGGUAAGUGGAAUUCCUAGUGUAGCGGUGAAAUGCGUAGAUAUUAGGAGGAACACCAGUGGCGAAGGCGGCUUACUGGACUGUAACUGACGUUGAGGCUCGAAAGCGUGGGGAGCAAACAGGAUUAGAUACCCUGGUA
rnacentral:rRNA from 1 species